CUGUCAAUGCAUACAUGGAGCCUCUAUGUCGAUCAUUUAAGCAGUGGUUAUCGUGUUUACCUGCUGACUGCAAGAGAGCGAAUAAACUUCCUGCUGCCACCCCUCCUCCGUUGGCAAUCGCAGCACUUGACAUCCAGGCUGCAGCAUAGGAUGAUGCAGCUAUUCCAGCUGCGCCGAAGCCCACGGCUCCCAGAACAACAGGGGCUGCAACCACAGCACCGCCUGAUGGACACAGACGAGGGGAGAGAGAGGGAAGUUCAUGAAACAGACUCACCACCAGGUUCUUCUUAAGACAUAAAUAAGCACUCCAUCAGAUGCAGAGUUACUCUCUGGCGCCAUCUUGUGCUGACAUUGGGACCUAGUUUCGUUUCUGAAGAAACAAACACAGCUGUUGUGGACAGCAGAUAAAAAGGCAGCCCCCUCGUGCUCAGACGAAAACACAUCCAGACAUGGAGACCGUCAUGUACAUUGCAGCUGGAGCAGGAGCUGCGGCAGGUGCUGUGGCCCUGGCUCCUGUCAUUGCAGGAGCUGCAGGUUUCACUGCAGGUGGGAUAGCAGCAGGCACCGUGGCUGCUAAAAUGAUGUCAGUUGCCGCAGUUGCCAACGGAGGUGGAGUGGUAGCAGGGGGUGCAGUGGCUGUCUUGCAAUCAGUCGGUGCAGCUGGUGUGUCCGCAGCCUCCAGUGCGGCGGUGACCGGUGUUGGAGCAGCAGUUGGAUUAGCAACAAAACUUUUUACCUGAAGAUGUUUAAGGACUCCUAUAUUUACUGGUGUUUAACAACAAUUCAAUAAAAUGCACCUCAAAGAGAUAA